AAUCGAAUCUUCGUCCCUUUGUCGAUUCUUCAUCUCCUUUGUCGAUUCCUAAUUUUUGCUCUUCCUCUUCUUUGAUCCGUUUCAUGAUCUGACCCUAAACAAUCAAUACAACUCCACUUCGUUCUCUCUUUACUCUCAUUUAUGGAUUCGUUUUGCUUUUCUCCUUCAGAUUUUGUUUAUAUAACUCUUAAUCCGCAUUUUCUCCUUCUUUUGUUUAUACAACUCUUGAUACGAGUCUUAUUCCGAUUAAGCUUUGUUGCAAUGAGUUCCAACGGAAGUUCCAUCUCCGAGAAACCAAAAGGCGUUGAGUCUGACUCCUCUCCCGGACCGAUCAAACCCAUCGGAACACCCCAUGUCUCAUCCAACCACUCAAUAGGCGAUCUCCACUCGAAGCGAGACAAAGGCGAAGCGUCGGUCACUUCCGGUCUGACCAAACUCAGCGGCAAAACUACUGUCUCUUCCGGCGUCUUGAUCGGCGUACCUAUGUCGAAGAACCCCAAUGGUAAGAACCCUUAUCGUUUCAUUAUGAGAUUAUAGUGUCCGUCUGAUUACCAGUAUAAAAAAUAGAGAAUCUGAAGCUAUGAGGUUUAAAACAAUGAGAUGAGCAAAAUAAUUGUUUUUAGUAGAUAAUUUUUAUACUAGAGUAAAUAGAAACGCAUGUGAAAUUGUGGAUUUUUAGUUCCCUUUUUUAAUGAUGGUAACGUUCGUAUUCCUAUGCAGGUGCGAUCAUUCACAGCACGAAGGCUGGUGUCUCCUCAGGUGUUAGAGGCAAAUCUGCUGUCUCUUCCCGCGUCAGGGGAAAAGCUAUUGUCUCGGCCGAAGUGGUGGCUUUCAAAGAUGUGAAAUACGGACCUCAUGACGGCGAGUUGAGGUUCCGGUUGAUCCAUUUUUGGGAAGCUCGAAAUAUUGUGUCAAAGGUGCUUAUCGGUCUCGAGAUGCUUCUCAUCGACCAAGAGGUAUAACCCAAAAUCUUGCUUACAGUUUAGUUUAGAAAUUGAAACUUAUCGUUCUAGACUUUACUUUGGCAGAGACUUUAUGAUUAGAAAAUAAUUUAUGAUUUUGGUUUCUUGGUCUCACUUUGGCAGUUUAGUUUUGCUAAUAAAAAAAGAGAACAUAUUCCAUUAAAACUUUGACUGAUGAACAUUUUAGAUAAUUUAUAGCAAGUGUUUGCUUUUAUUGAUAGUACAGUAACUAUAAUUUUUUUGUUGAUGCGUUUCUAUGAUUUCCUGUCUAGCAUUUCUGAUUUAAUUUCUUUACUGAUGAUAACAGGAGACUGUCAUCCAGGGUUUCAUCCCAGCUGGGAGGAUAGACACUUAUUUGCCACACAUGAGAGCUGGUGGCCUUUACAGACUCAACAGUUUUUUCGGUUCUCACAACAAGAAUUUGUAUCGUGUUGCGGAACCAAGUUUCACCAUCACAUUCUCAUCGACUUCUGACCUCUCUAAUCUAACGGACAGUCCGGUUUGUUUCCUUGAGGACCGGUUCCGGAUCCAUGGAUAUGAGGAGUUCGAUGCUGCCUGCGACUUGAGAGGGGAUCUUUAUGAUUAUGUUGGCCACAUCAAGCUUGUGAAUGGACAGGUUCUAAGUGAUAGUCUCAUGCUAGAUGAUGCCGAGAUGGCUUCAUCACGCCGCGUCUUGCUCCAUGUUCAAACACAUGAGUAAGCUAAUCUAUUUUUUUUCAUAUUCAUAUGUUGUCUCUCUUAACACAUGUGUUUUGUAUGUUAUAGUGGUCCGGUGAUGAAGUUGUACCUAUGGGACAAGGCUGCCUCAGAUUUUAGUGAGAAAUUUAAAGCAUCUGGAGGAACCGCACGUGUUGUUUUGGUCACUACUUUAAACCCGAAACGAUUUGGAGGUCCGUAUUAUCAACCUUUUUAAUUUUUAAGCAGGACACAGGAUGGUCAAGGAGUCUUAUCUGGUUAGGUUAGUUUUGGUAGUAGAGCUGCUUUUGGACAUAUACAUAUACAUAUGAGUAACCUAUAGGUUCCGAGAUAGCAAAUAUUAGACAUAUAUAUAUUUCUACAUCUCAUUUACAUUAUAACUUUGCAUAUGUAUUAUAACAAUGGAUCUGUUAUAGGUGCCCUCGCUCUCUCCUCUAUGACGCCAUCACGUGUUUUCUUGGACAAAGAUGUUCAAACAACCGAAGAGUAUCUCACUUGGAUGAACGCGAACUUAUCUGUUGCCAACAGAGUUAACGCAGACGUUGUCACUAAGACUGAGACAAUGACCAUAGGCGAGCUCUUAUUCUAUAUUCAGCAGGAAGAUGCCAAGGUUAUACAAUAUCAAUGAUUAACGCCUUCAAUAUGAUAGUCUUAAUCUCUUAAUUAAUUGUUUCGCAUCUUGCAGGUUGCUUGGUUUGAGUGCAUAGCAACCAUUGCUGAUGUUGUGCACGGUUCAUCCUGGUAUUACAUAGGCUGUGGUGUGUGCCACACUAAGGCAACCAAAGGGCCUACCACCCUUAUGUGUAAAAAAUGUGGGAAACCCGACAUUGUUGGUGUUCCACAGUAAGUGACUCAGCUGUACUUAUUCUUAUACUUUAAUGCACUCAUUAUAACUCUGCACAUGACACAGGUACCUGGCCAAGAUCUAUGUGUAUGAUAAUGAGGAUCAGGCGUCUUUUGUGCUCCUCGGUGAUGCUGGACAUGAGUUAUCCGGAAGAAAAGCUUCAGAGUUGGUUGCAAGUUAUUUCGAGGUAAUUACAACCCUGUGUGCUUAUGUUAUUUGAAUCUAUAUUCUCCAAGAUAGCUAGAUAUAUAUAGUGACAGUUGUUUAAUGUAUAUUAGGCUAAUGAGAAUGUAGAAGAUGACCACUUGGUUCCGGUACCUCAGGCUCUUAUCGAUACCAUUGGACAGACUCGAAAAUUCAUUGUGAAAGUAUCAUAUCACAAUUUGACAGGCAAGACCCAAGCUUUGACUGUGACAAAGGUUCUCACCCCAGAAGAUCAAGAAGCUGAAGCCCAAGGAACUCUGCAGAAUGGAAUUGCUGAUGGUGAUCCUUCCACAUGCGUUGGGAUAGUGAAGAGGGCUGCUGAUAAGGUCGAGGCAGAAGACCCCAAGCGAGCCAGAUGUGGCUAGGAUGUGUUGAAUCGUGGUUUUAUGAUUACUAAGACUCUAUGCUUU